ACUUUUUUAGUAUAUUUUAUUAUAUUUGACUUCCAAUCAAAAGAUCUUUAUAAGAAAAAGUA
rnacentral:tRNA from 1 species